rnacentral:rRNA from 1 species
GACGAACGCUGGCGGCGUGCUUAACACAUGCAAGUCGAACGAGGCCCCGCUUUCGGGCGGGUGUCCUAGUGGCGAACGGGUGAGUAACACGUGGGCAACCUGCCCCCGGCUCUGGGAUAACCCCAAGAAAUUGGGGCUAAUACCGGAUAUGACCGCUGGCCGCAUGGCCUGGUGGUGGAAAGAUUUUUUCGGCUGGGGAUGGGCCCGCGGCCUAUCAGCUUGUUGGUGGGGUAGUGGCCUACCAAGGCGACGACGGGUAGCCGGCCUGAGAGGGUGACCGGCCACGCUGGGACUGAGACACGGCCCAGACUCCUACGGGAGGCAGCAGUGGGGAAUAUUGCGCAAUGGGCGGAAGCCUGACGCAGCGACGCCGCGUGGGGGAUGACGGCCUUCGGGUUGUAAACCUCUUUCAGCAGGGACGAAGCCGCAAGGUGACGGUACCUGCAGAAGAAGCACCGGCCAACUACGUGCCAGCAGCCGCCGUAACAC